CCUACGGGUGGCAGCAGUGAGGAAUAUUGGUCAAUGGGCGGAAGCCUGAACCAGCCAAGUCGCGUGAUGGAAUAAGGCCCUACGGGUCGUAAACCGCUUUCAGCAGGGACGAGGCCCUCACGGUGACGGUACCUGCAGAAGAAGCCCCGGCUAACUACGUGCCAGCAGCCGCGGUAAUACGUAGGGGGCGAGCGUUAUCCGGAUUCAUUGGGCGUAAAGCGCGCGUAGGCGGCCUGUUAGGUCGGGGGUCAAAUACCGGGGCUCAACCCCGGUCCGCCCCCGAUACCGGCAGGCUUGAGUCUGGUAGGGGAAGGCGGAAGUCCCAGUGUAGCGGUGGAAUGCGCAGAUAUUGGGAAGAACACCGGCGGCGAAGGCGGCCUUCUGGGCCACGACUGACGCUGAGGCGCGAAAGCUAGGGGAGCGAACAGGAUUAGAUACCCGAGUAGUC
rnacentral:rRNA from 1 species